rnacentral:rRNA from 1 species
UUAAAUUGAAGAGUUUGAUCAUGGCUCAGAUUGAACGCUGGCGGCAGGCCUAACACAUGCAAGUCGAACGGUAACAGGAAGCAGCUUGCUGCUUUGCUGACGAGUGGCGGACGGGUGAGUAAUGUCUGGGAAACUGCCUGAUGGAGGGGGAUAACUACUGGAAACGGUGGCUAAUACCGCAUAACGUCGCAAGACCAAAGAGGGGGACCUUCGGGCCUCUUGCCAUCAGAUGUGCCCAGAUGGGAUUAGCUUGUUGGUGAGGUAACGGCUCACCAAGGCGACGAUCCCUAGCUGGUCUGAGAGGAUGACCAGCCACACUGGAACUGAGACACGGUCCAGACUCCUACGGGAGGCAGCAGUGGGGAAUAUUGCACAAUGGGCGCAAGCCUGAUGCAGCCAUGCCGCGUGUAUGAAGAAGGCCUUCGGGUUGUAAAGUACUUUCAGCGGGGAGGAAGGUGUUGUGGUUAAUAACCGCAGCAAUUGACGUUACCCGCAGAAGAAGCACCGGCUAACUCCGUGCCAGCAGCCGCGGUAAUACGGAGGGUGCAAGCGUUAAUCGGAAUUACUGGGCGUAAAGCGCACGCAGGCGGUCUGUCAAGUCGGAUGUGAAAUCCCCGGGCUCAACCUGGGAACUGCAUUCGAAACUGGCAGGCUUGAGUCUUGUAGAGGGGGGUAGAAUUCCAGGUGUAGCGGUGAAAUGCGUAGAGAUCUGGAGGAAUACCGGUGGCGAAGGCGGCCCCCUGGACAAAGACUGACGCUCAGGUGCGAAAGCGUGGGGAGCAAACAGGAUUAGAUACCCUGGUAGUCCACGCCGUAAACGAUGUCUACUUGGAGGUUGUGCCCUUGAGGCGUGGCUUCCGGAGCUAACGCGUUAAGUAGACCGCCUGGGGAGUACGGCCGCAAGGUUAAAACUCAAAUGAAUUGACGGGGGCCCGCACAAGCGGUGGAGCAUGUGGUUUAAUUCGAUGCAACGCGAAGAACCUUACCUGGUCUUGACAUCCACGGAAGUUUUCAGAGAUGAGAAUGUGCCUUCGGGAACCGUGAGACAGGUGCUGCAUGGCUGUCGUCAGCUCGUGUUGUGAAAUGUUGGGUUAAGUCCCGCAACGAGCGCAACCCUUAUCCUUUGUUGCCAGCGGUUAGGCCGGGAACUCAAAGGAGACUGCCAGUGAUAAACUGGAGGAAGGUGGGGAUGACGUCAAGUCAUCAUGGCCCUUACGACCAGGGCUACACACGUGCUACAAUGGCGCAUACAAAGAGAAGCGACCUCGCGAGAGCAAGCGGACCUCAUAAAGUGCGUCGUAGUCCGGAUUGGAGUCUGCAACUCGACUCCAUGAAGUCGGAAUCGCUAGUAAUCGUGGAUCAGAAUGCCACGGUGAAUACGUUCCCGGGCCUUGUACACACCGCCCGUCACACCAUGGGAGUGGGUUGCAAAAGAAGUAGGUAGCUUAACCUUCGGGAGGGCGCUUACCACUUUGUGAUUCAUGACUGGGGUGAAGUCGUAACAAGGUAACCGUAGGGGAACCUGCGGUUGGAUCACCUCCUUACCU